CGAGGGCCAUGGGAAGGAGAUUCUAGCUUGAUCCCCAUGGUGCAGGUUUGGAGACUGGGGAGGACCUGAAUGGCACAAGGACUUUCCCAAGAUGCAGA